GCAUUAAUGGGGUAGUGGUAACCUGGGUCGUUGCCAAGAUCGUCGAACACGAAGAUGUAAUCCUCGACCCGCCGGGGGUUCGAUUCCCUCUUAAUGCA